GAUGAACGCUGGCGGCGUGCCUAAUACAUGCAAGUCGAGCGAACAGACGAGGAUCUUGCUCCUCUUACGUUAGCGGCGGACGGGUGAGUAACACGUGGAUAACCUACCUAUAAGACUGGGAUAACUUCGGGAAACCGGAGCUAAUACCGGAUAAUAUAUUGAACCGCAUGGUUCAAUAGUGAAAGCCGGUUUUGCUGUCACUUAUAGAUGGAUCCGCGCCGCAUUAGCUAGUUGGUAAGGUAACGGCUUACCAAGGCAACGAUGCGUAGCCGACCUGAGAGGGUGAUCGGCCACACUGGAACUGAGACACGGUCCAGACUCCUACGGGAGGCAGCAGUGGGGAAUCUUGCACAAUGGGCGAAAGCCUGACGGAGCAACGCCGCGUGAGUGAUGAAGGUCUUCGGAUCGUAAAACUCUGUUAGUAGGGAAGAACAAAUGUGUAAGUAACUAUGCACGUCUUGACGGUACCAAAACAGAAAGCAACGGCUAACUACGUG
rnacentral:rRNA from 1 species